UGGCAGUUUUGGCCUCCCAAGGUAAAAUAAAGAUAAAAAAUUGGCUUAAUUACACCACGGGUCCUUUAUGUUUGACGUUUGUAACAGAUAGGUCCUUUAAGUUUGUUUUGUAACAGAUAGGUCCUUUAACUUUGUAACAGUAUACAACUAAGUCCUUCCGUUAACUCACCGUCAAAAAAACGCUGACGUGGCUGUGAAGUCUGUGAUGUGGCAUGCAAAAGGCAAAAACAUGUUAUUAAUUGGAAAAUGUUAUGAUUAUUUUUGAAGAUUGCUAAUGUAACUUGCAUGUUGUUGGCUUUAACUUAUGUUAUUGCAACAAUAAGCUUGAUAUUUAAUCAAGUAAAGUGAAUAAUCCUUGUAACAUGUUGUUUUUUUUAGUUUAAUUUAAGCGUGCAAUCAUGUUAGACGAUGAAACAUUGUUGAGUGUAACAUUAAUGUAAUGUGUUAAGUGUUUUGUUUUAAGAAAAUAAAUAUUUUGUUAACGGAAGGACUUAGUUGCACAGUGUUACAAAGUUAAAGGACUUAUCUGUUACAAAACAAACUUAAAGGACCUAUCUGUUACAAACGUCAAACUUAAAGGACAUGUGGUGUAAUUAAGCCUAAAAAAUUUGACACGUGGCACCUCACUUAGGGUGCCACGUCAGCGUUGACCGAGUCAACAUUGGACUGGUGGUUCAAAACUGCCAAAGAAUCAAAAUAUAGGGGGCUGUUUUGUAUUUAAAUUAGUUAGGGGUCCAAAAUGCAAUUAAACCGAUAUAAAUGGUUCUCUUUAGUUUCUAUUGCCAAAUCAAGUGUGAUUAACUUCAUAAAACUGAAAUAAAAUCUGCAAAAGAGUGAUUGAAGCUUAUAUUCUGUGUGCAGUGAUCUCACUCGCAACUAUCUCAAUGGCACAAUUCCAACGAGUUUUCCUAGCAAUUCGCUAGUUGUUUUGUAAGUCAUCAUUACCUUUUUGCUCUGUGUAUUGUGUAAUUCUUUAUGCAUGAGUCAUGCAAUUUUUUUUUUGUUAAUGGUAAACCAGUUGAAUUGUUUUAUAAUAAAAAUUUCUUAACUUGGUAACUUUCUUUGCCUAAGUGGCUUCCAUUACUGACUUUGUUUUUUUGGUAUUUCAAAUUAUCAAUAUGUACUACUUUUAUCGUGAUUCAGGUCGCUUUUGGGAAACCGAUUAAGUGGUCCAAUUCCCACAGAAAUUGGUGAUAUUUCUAGCUUGGAGGAACUGUAAGUGUUGGAGAAGAUUAAUUUCGAUGUUAUGUUAAAAAAUGUUAUAUAUAGAAGGUUUAAUACUUAACUGACAAUUUUGUUUUGCAUGUUCAUAGGGUCUUAGAAAGUAAUCAACUAGGCGGACCGCUUCCUCGUAGUCUCGGAAAUUUGAUCAAGUUGAAGAGACUGUAAGACUGUUUCUUUCUUCUACUCAUUAUCAUUUUGUUAUAAAUGACCAAUUUUAAUAUUUUAAAUGAAUUUGCAGGCUCCUUUCUUCGAAUAACUUUACUGGGAUAAUACCAGAUUCAUUUAGCAAACUAAACAAUCUCACUGAUUUGUGAGUGAUUUCAACUGAUACAAAUGCUUUUUAUACAUUUAUAUGUAUGUCUCUAUUGAAUUCUGAAAUCAGUGUUUGCAUUUUCUGCAGUAGGAUAGAUGGAAGCAAUUUAUCUGGACAGAUACCUAGUUUUAUCGGGAACUGGACCAAACUUGAGAGAUUGUUAGUAUACACUUAAAUCUAUCAGUGACCUUUUUCUUGACAUCUUUUCUAGUUUCUGACAGAAAUUUUAUGAUUUUUAUAGGAAUAUGCAGGGUACAUCUAUGGAUGGUCCAAUUCCUCCCACCAUAUCGGAGUUGGAACUUUUGACUGAGUUGUGAGUACUUGCACCAUUUCAAAAUAUGAUUUAAUUCAUGAAUACCGUUAAUGUAAAGACUUUUCACACUGUCAAUCAAUCGUAAUCGUCAAAUCGUUAAAACAAAAAAAAAAUGGAAGCUCGGUAUGCGGGUCAAGGAGUGACUAGUCAUGGGGACCAAUCCAACUACCGUCCACUAGAGGUGGACCCAAUUGAAGUCAGAGUAAAAUCUAUGGACUGAACCAACACAGGAAUUGUUGGCACUUGGAGGAAUCGAACCUGAUACCAUGAGAGGAGCAUGUUCUAAGGUCAAAAGCCUACACCACCAGGUCAACCCAUGGUGGGGGUUAAUCGUUAAAAUAUUUGAUUUUAAUCAUAACAAAUUUAAAGUCACACGUCGCGUUUUGUGCACAGCAAAAACUUCUUAUACAGACAAUGUAUCGAAAGUAAACUCUUCUGAAGAUUCCUAAAUUUUUGUAUUUAAUAUGCAUAUAUUGUACAAUUGUUGUGGAAUAAAAUCUUCAAAGGUGGAACAUUUCCUUCUCACGGAUGAAAAUUUUCUCUGUAUCAGGAGAAUAAGUGAUUUGAAUGGACCAACCAUGACAUUUCCUAAUCUGAAGGGUUUGAAAAACUUGCAACUACUGUGAGUUGAGUCAUUUUCAGAUAUUUUGUGAAGAACUAAAUGAUUCAUUUCGUUUCUUUAUUGUAAUGUUAUAUUUCUGUGAUUCAGGGAGUUGAGAAAUUGCUUAAUCACAGGUCCUAUUCCUGAUUACAUUGGUGAAAUGACAGACUUAAUUACUUUGUGAGUCAAAUUGAUAUUCAGAUCAAAAUUAUUUCUCUUCUUUUUGCCAAACAUUUAACAUUCCAAAAAUUGAAGUACAUGGUAUGUGUAAUGAUUCAUAAGACUAUUAAUUAACAUUAUAGUAAAUCUACUUUCAUGCAGAGAUCUAAGCUUCAAUAUGUUGAAUGGUUCAAUCCCAAAUUCAAUUCAAGGAUUGAAAAGGCUAGAUUACAUGUAAGUGAACAUUCGACUUACUGACCAAAGGCUAUCUUCAAUGUAUUUUAAUUCUUCUAGUAAUUUGAUAUCUGGAAAAUAUGCUGCUUUUUCUUUAUUGAUUUAACUUUUUUUGUAUGGAUGCAGGUUUCUGACUAAUAAUUCUUUGAAUGGACCGAUUCAAGACUGGAUACUGAACUUCAAAAUUAACAUGUUAGCAUAUUUCACUUACCAUGCUUUCUCCAAUUGCAUAUUUAGCAUUGCACAAUUGAGUUAUGAAGAAACUUAAUUUUGUCUAACUAUAUGGUCUCUUUCAGAGAUUUAUCUGACAACAAUUUUACAAAGUCUUCUGCAACUAGCUGCCAGCAGUUGAAUCUGUAAGGUUCUCUUUGUUUAGCGAUAUAUACACAUUUCAUUUGUGUCAAAGCUAGUUUUUGCUAAUAACUUCUGUUUCUAAAAAGGAACAUGGCUUCGAGCCAUUCGUCUUCAGCGGUCACUUCACCUUCGUAAGUUCUAUGCUUAUUUUCCACGUGGCUUGUCAACGUUGAAUUAGAUGAUCCAUUGAAACUAACUACAUUCAUCUUGUAGAACGUUUUGUUUGAAGAGGAACCUUCCUUGUACAAGAAAACCCCAGUGUAAGUGUUGAGCAUAUUUAGUAAAUCGGUUGUACAUGAUCCAUAAUCCAUAAAACUGAACAAGUUAAAGUUAAUCAAAUGAAAACGUAUGAUGAGUUUUUUUUUUUUUUUUUUGUACUGAAUUUUGAUUAGAUUUUUCCUGUCUUUUCAGAUAAUUCAUUGUUCAUAAAUUGUGGAGGACCUCAAGGGGAUUACGAUGGAAAUAACUAUUUCGGCGAUCUGCAGAGAGAUGGAAUUUCAAAUUUUGUUCUUAGAAAUGAAGGACAUUGGGCUUAUAGCAGUACAGGAGUGUAUAUGGGAAAUGUCCAUGCAGAUUAUACUGCAUUAAAUACAUUACCUUUGAAUAUUACUGGCCCAGAAUACUAUGAAACCGCGCGGCUUGCUCCUCUGUCACUUAAAUACUAUGGCCUAUGUAUGCAGAAGGGAAAUUAUAAAGUGAAACUCCAUUUUGCUGAGAUAAUGUUUUCUGCUGACCAGACUUUUCAAAGUCUUGGAAAGCGCAUAUUUGAUGUUUCAAUUCAAGUGCGUACUUAAACAAAAUAUCUCUUUACAUUAUUUUGAUUGAUUCUUAUAUUUUCAUCAUAGUCUGAAGUAUAAGUAAAAAUGUAAUGUAUCUGGUAUUUGAAGAAAGUAGGUGCCCUAAAUUGAAGUUAUGAACUUAAAAUGCUACAUCUUCACAGGGUUUUAAAUAUUUGAAAGAUUUUAACAUCAUGGAAGAAGCCGGUGGAGUUGGAAAGGGCAUUACUAAGGAAUUUGAUGUCGAAGUGAAUGACACGACCUUGGAAAUUCACUUAUACUGGGCAGGGAAAGGAACCACUGCCAUUCCUGACAGAGGUGUUUAUGGACCUCUUAUAUCUGCUAUCACAAUAACACCUAGUAAGGUUUUUUUUUAUCAUUUUUAAUUCAACUACCAUGCUAUGUCAUAUUCUAUAAGCAUCACAACUUUGUUGUAGACUUUAAAAAUCACUCAGAAGGGCUGUCUGCUGGAGUUAUCGUUGGAAUUGUGGCUGCAGCAUGUGUGCUUCUCAUGCUUAUAUUGGUUACCCUUUGGAAGAUGGGUAUCCUUGGUGAAAAAGAUACAAGAGACCAAGGUAAGAUUCUAGUUCAAUAGAACAUGAGUUUAAUUUACAAUAUAUAUAUAUAUAUAUAUAUAUAUAUAUAUAUAUAUAUAUGGUACAAACAUGUUUACUAUGCAUCCAUAUUCUUUGGAGGCAUAAAAUUACUGUAUGGAUACAGAAUGAGGACAAAUUUAAAAGAAUAUGCUGAUUUGGAAUCAAUAUUAUGGCAACACAACUUUUUUCUCCUAUAAAGUUGUAGGAUUCGUUAUAUUUUCCUUUUUAAAUUGCCUCUUCUUAUUCUCUUACUUACCAAUUUUAAAAAAUAUGAUUGGCGACUUACUUGUAAAUCUUCCAUGUUGUAGAGCUUCUUGAUCUGAAAACAGGUUAUUUCAGCUUAAGACAAAUUAAAGCAGCCACUAAUGACUUUGAUCCUGCAAAUAAGAUUGGUGAAGGGGGAUUUGGGCCAGUAUACAAGGUAACUACGGAUAGACCGUGCCAUUUAUCCCGCAAAACUUCUAUCUAUUUUAAGAGAAGUCUCUGCUAAUGACACAUGCCAGCACUUUAUACCUCUAGUAUCCGCCCUUUUUUCCCACAUCCAUGCAAAUUAAUGCAUGGAUGUGUUGUCAAAUGGUGAUGUCAUUGCUGUUAAGCAGCUCUCCGUACAAAAUUUUGUUAAUGGUCGAACCUUUGGUGACAAAAACCAUAGCUAACUUGUUUAGCAAGUAAUGUCUUACUAUAGUUCAUUUGAUUAGUCUAACUGUGAUAAAAAAAGCACUUCAUGUAGUCCACUCCCUCCGGUGCUUAUAAAUGUGACCGAAGGGUUUUAACUAUGAUUUAAAGUUUUACUAACUUGUAUAUAAAAAGCAUGAUAUUCAAGCCAUGGUUUAAUUAAUGCAGGGUGUGUUAUCAAAUGGCGAUGUCAUUGCUAUUAAGCAGCUCUCCUCAAAAUCAAACCAAGGGAAUCGCGAAUUUGUUAACGAAAUCGGAAUGAUAUCUGCUUUGCAGCAUCCAAAUCUUGUUAAGCUCUAUGGCUGUUGCAUUGAAGGAAAGCAGUUGCUGCUGAUAUAUGAAUACAUGGAGAACAAUUGUCUUGGCCGUGCACUUUUUGGUGAAUACCUCGUUAACAAUAUUACCUUGUUGAUUUGUUGUUGUGUGUGUAACUGAAAUAUCUUUUUCGUUCCCCCGUAUUUCAAAUAGGUCAUCGACAACAGAAGCUGCACUUGGACUGGCCUACAAGAAUGAAGAUCUGUCUUGGUAUAGCAAAGGGGUUAGCUUAUCUUCAUGAGGAAUCAACAUUGAAAAUAGUACACAGGGAUAUUAAGCCAACUAACGUAUUACUUGACAAGGAUCUUAAUGCCAAGAUCUCUGACUUUGGUUUAGCUAAGCUUAAUGAAGACGGGAAUACCCAUAUCAGUACACGAAUAGCUGGAACAAUGUUAGUACUUGCCACAACUAUUUAGCUUGACCCAAAGUCUUUGUUCAAAAUUAGUUGAUAUUUUGUUAUUAGCAUUAACAACCAAGACUUUGUUCAUUAUCGCUCUAAGUUAUACAGCAUCUUUCGUAACCACUCAUGUUUCACUGCUUCUUAAUAGUGGCUACAUGGCUCCAGAAUAUGCCAUGCGGGGGUACUUGACUGAUAAAGCAGAUGUAUAUAGCUUUGGAGUUGUAGCUUUAGAGAUUGUUGCCGGAAAAAGCAACACAAAUUUCCAACCAAUGGAGGAGUUUGUAUAUCUUCUUGAUUGGGUAUGUAUGAACUUCCUUUUUGAUUUGUAUGGACAGAGAGUAUAGAUUCCGUCUAUUUUCAAAUUGAAUUGAGACCUUCAUUACUAUAAUAUUUUGUCACAAAGUCUAGAAAUAUGUGUCUUUAUACGUACUAUGGAGCUCUUCAUUUCUUCUGAGAAGAUUGCUACCCUGGUCUUAUAAUGCCAAACUUAUCCUCUUUCUUGUUUUUGCUAUAUUUAUGGUUUGGUACUUUGGUUAAUUUUCUACUCUCUUAAUUUGUGCACGUGUCGUUGAAGGCCUAUGAUCUCAAAGAUCAAGGAAACCUCCUGGAGUUGGUGGAUCCAAGUCUUGGUUCAAGGUACUCGAAAAAGGAAGCCAUGAGAAUGCUGAACUUAGCAUUGUUAUGCACCAACACAUCUCCCGGUCCUAGACCAUCCAUGUCAUUGGUAGUAAGCAUGCUUGAAGGAAAAACUCCAAUUCAAGCACCAGUAAUCAACCGCGGUGAGAGCGGACAACACGUAAGAUUCAAAGCCUCCGGAUUGCAGUCACAAAACAGCCAACCUCUUGAUUCUUCUACAUUCUCACAUGGAAGCAAAAGACAAGUAUCAGUUCACUCCUCCACAUCUCUUCAAUGUGAAGAUGAUUUUUCAUCAAGCAGUAAAAGUCCUUGAGUUUCACAUCGUGUUUAGAGCAUGCUAAAUUACAAGUUUUUUUAAGGUGGUAGAUAUAGUGUAUAAACUGCAGAUUGACAGCAUAUCAAGAAGAUAAGCAAGAAUAGAAGUUUGGUUCCAUCAGGCUUACAAAUGCAUAGCACAUUUACAUGUAUUUGCUGCUAAAUUGUGUGAUUAAAAGGCAUUUCUCGUGUGUUUUCUUAUCAAGAUUAUAUUGAUUUUUCAGUUUUGAAUCUCCAGCUGGCUUGCAUUUAAGUAUUGAAUAUGAUCGAAAGAUUGAUAACGAAAUACAAGUUUAGUAUGAACAGCUUUCUCAAUGAUUUAUAUAGUUUGUCAACAAACCUUUAUAUUAAUAUAGAAGUUAAUACUGAGUUAGUUAUUUAGAGUUUGUUAGUAGGUUGUUAGUUAGUUCCUUACAAACUCUAUAUAGAGCAAACCUUGUACUCAUUGCUCAUCUUUUCAUCAAAUCAUUCAAUAAGAAUAAUAAAGAUGUUUCCUUUGUAUCAAGUUCUCAAGUCUACUUCCCCUAUGAACUUCAUUUUCAACUCUUUAAUCACAAGGUUAUCAAGACUUUUCAAUUUCUUUUUUUUAUGAAAAUCGAUAUUUGGACCAAGGACGGGAGACCACACGCACCGUCCACUAUCGUAGGGCCUAAUUGAAGUCAAAACAAAGUUCUGUAUGGACUAGACCAACAGAAGAAUUGUUGGCAUUUAGAACAUGGGACCUAAACAAGAGCACACUCCCAAGUCUCAAGCCUUCACCACUCAGCUAACCUUUGGGGUUUCCUUUUGAAUUUCUCUUAAUAAAGCAAAAAUAUAUGCUAUAAUAUUACAGUAUCGUAAAGGUUUCGGACAUAAUUUAUCUAGUAAAAAUUAAACUUGUGCUUACCUGCACAUUUUUCAAAACCCACCUUUGUUUGUAAAAUAAGUAUUCGCCGCGUACAACGGUAAAGACUAAUCUCUCAUGUGAGUUAGGACCACAACGCGCAAAACAACAUGCAUAGCCAUAAGUUGUAAAGAAGUAUGGGAACUUAAUGACCAAAUUUCUCUAUUUUAUAGAGUUAUGAAAACUUGAUACUCUUCAAAAAAGGGUUAUUCAAUGCUCUGACUUGGGUCACCUAAGUUUCACAUGGCGGAGUACAUAAAGGUCUUAAUCUUUGACCCAAGUUUCACAAUAGACCUUUUUAUUGUAGUCUUUUACAACUAGUCUUGCAUUGUGUCCUUCAAUUUUUCCUUUGACAUUAUUCUUUGUCUUGUACAUUUAUUUUUCCUUACGAUCUUUUGGAAUUAAGACGUGGUCUCACACAUUAUCCUUCUUAAUAGUUUGAACUUCUUCGUCUGCUAGACCUUCCCGUCUUUUAUCUUGCACAACUUCUUCAAAAUUCACUAGUUUAUAACUUGCAGAAGGACAUAAUAGUGUGAGACUAUCCAUUCCUUCAGUUUCCAUUGAAGAAACCCUUCAAGGGUUGUUACUCGUCUCCAAGUGACAUAAGUUAUAUACAGAUAGAAAAUCACAUUCUUGUGAGUAAAAAUUCUGUCGAAAUCUAAAUCGUUUCUUUUUUUAUCUAGUGCAUAAGUGUAGUUAAGAAAACUUUAUUUUGUAAACUAUCGUUGAUCGAUUUUCUGAUGUGAUUGUGCAACUCUUGUCAAUAAUUCCAAGGUAUCAUGAAGAGAAUUGUAAGUAUACUUAUUUGCAUCUGAUUGAGAUAAAAUGGUCGAGACAAAUCAAAUCUAAAGCUUAGUAUAUACACACGGUUUGAAAUUAUUUAUGCAAUCAUUGUCAUUCAUUUUCAUCUUAACAAUACUAAUGACUAGGGGUGUUUAAAACCGAACCAACCCAAAUCAAAAUUCGCAAACAACCAUGUUUGGUUUGGAUUUACUUGGGGCACUCUUUGACACACGCUUGUGGUUUCUUUUUGCCCCAUGAAAAAAACCAAACCAAACCUCAAACUUAGAGAAGCACUCACUACGCCGAAACACUUACUCAACCCAAAAUAGCCCUUUUAAUUAUAUUUUCUUUGGACCUUUUUUCUUCUUCUUAUUCUUUAAAUUAAUAAAAAAAAAAUAUUGUGCAAAUCAUAUAAAAUAAACACCAACCUUAUCUAUAAAAUAUUUCACCAAAACCUCCAAAAUAAAGAAUAAACUUUAAAAAUAAUAUCAACGAAGAGGUAAUUGUAAAUACCAAUGAUUUUGGGUAUAUUUUCAUGAUAUUUAUACAAUAAUUUUGUGAUAAUUUUUUGACAAUUUUCUCUCUCAUACUUACUUGAUAUUUUUAUUCUUUCUCUUCCUUUUUAUCUCUCUUUUGCUUCUAACCAAUAAGAGAGAGAAAACAUGGUUGUCGCCAAAGUAAAUAAAUGUACAAAUAUCAUUGCUCUAUUUUCACUCAACCUUUUUUUUCCUUCAUUGUGUAUAUUGAAUCGAUUUUUUAUUGUUGCACCUUUUGUUUAUCUACCUUAAUCAUAUUUGAAAUUAAUUAUUAAUUGCUAUAAAUUUGUUUAAUUGUUACGGCUACAAUAAUUAAAAUUAUUGUCAAAUUUUUUAAAUCAUUUCAAACCACGUUGAUUCAAUUUGAUUUGUUUAAAAAAUCAAUCGAAACAAAUCAAAUUGUAUAUUUUUUUAUCUUAUAUUUUAAAUACUCCUUUCAUUUUAUUUUAAGGCUUAAUUGAACUCCCGGUCCUUUAAUUUAAUUCUUUUUUUUAAAUUGGUCCUAUAACUUUUAAACGUUUCAAUUUGGUCUUUUAUAUGUGUCUAAGUCUGUCAAUUUGGUCCUAUUUCCUUAAUUUUAACUCCUUAAAAAAAGAGACCGUUGGAUAAAAGAGAUCCAUCAGAUUUAACAGUGUAUCACCAACACCUAAUUUAUUCUACUUUUCUUCAUCUUCUUCCCACAUCUUCAUCUUCAUCUUCAUACAACAUUCAUCAAUCUUCAUCAUCUUCAUAAAAAAGCCUAAUUUUUUCUUUUAAAAAUUAUCAUUUUUGAAAUCACAUAAUAAAACUCUUAAAUCUAGAAUUAACACCACCAUCUUCAUCUAACUCACAAUCAAAAUUAACACUCAUUUAUCAAAUCAAUCGCCUUCAACUAUAAAUCCAAUUUAUCUUCAACCAUAAACUCAAUUCAAAACUAACACCCAAUUUUUUUCACCUUCAACCUUCUCUCUCACAACCGGAAGAAGUUCUGUCAUAAGCGUUCCUGGACUGAGCUCAAUUAGAUUUACACCUUUGAGGUGCUUGAUGAGUUCAGAAUUGGAAGUGGGUUGGCAAGAAUGUUCUGCCAAAAGGAAUACAAAUGAGAGAUUGAAGAAGAAAAGAAAUGGAGAAUGAAGAGAGUAGUGUUACGGUAAUACUGUUACCAUUACUAGGUGGGUUGCAAAGGGAAGAUCGGUCGAUGGAGAUUGUAAAAGAAGACGAAUGGCAUUGUGCGACUGUGAUCUAUUUGUUAUUUGUUUUCUUUGUUCAUAAAAGAAUUGACGCCAUUGAAGGUAAAAAAAAAAAAAAAAAAAAGGUGUUAGUUUUGAAUUGAGUUUGUGGUUGAAGAUGAUGGAUUUGAUAAAUAGGUGUUAAUUUUGAUUGUGAGUUAGUUGAUGGUGGUUGUGUUAAUUUUAGAUUUAACUAUUUAAUUAUGUCGUUUUUUUUUUUAGUUUUAAUGAUAAUUUUUUAAAGAAAAAAAUUGGGUUUUUUAUGAAGAUUGAUGAAUGUUGUAUGAAAAUGAAGAUGUGGGAAGUAGAUGAAGAAAAGUAGAAUAAAUUAGGUGUUGAUGAUACAUCGUUAAAUCUGAUGGACUUCCUUUAUUUAACGGUCUCCUUUUUUAGGGAGUUAAAAUUAAUGAAAUAGGAAUAAAUUGACCGACUUAAACACAUAAUAAAGGAUCAAAUUGAAACUUUUAAAAGUUAUAUGACCAAUUUAAAAAAUUUAAAAAUAAGUUAAAGGACCGGUAGUUCAAUUAAACCUUAUUUUAAUUAUCCAGUCUCAAUAUAAUUAUAAUUUUAGAAUUGUUUCAAAAUCGAGUCAAAGUGGAUCUAGAACACUCCAAGGAGUGAAUAGAAUCAUUUUGGCGGGAGUUUUGUACAGUCUUUCUCCCUCUCAUGACAAAAAAAAAACUUUCCAUCGAUAGAAUGAACCAAUAAACACGAAGAAGACGAUUCAGUGAAUAAAAACACCACCGUCUCAUUCCCUCUUUCAUCAACAAUGAGUUCAAACUCAGAUCCAAUGAUACGUUACUCCCACACAAACCGCAUCGUUCUUCUCAUAGAUCUAGACCCACUCCUCCUCCUCCUUCACAACACCACCACCACCACCAACUACAUCAAAAACAUUCUCUCCACCUCUAAAACCCUAUUUUCUUUCCCUCCACUUUCCACCUCUCUUUUCGCCUUCAAAUUCUUCUUCUCUUCUCUCCCACCUCAUCUCUCUUUCUCUAAACUCCAUCCUUUUCUCCCUAAACACUCUUUCUCCUUCGAUCACCCUUUCUCCACUUUCAAUCUCCUCUCCAAAACCCUAUCCACUUUCCCGAAUUUCCCUCUAACUUAUAACCCGAAAGCCGCAAAUCUCAUUGAUUCCCUCACUCAGCUUCUUCAUGAUUACCCCUGGGAACCUAAUUCCGACGCCGACACCGACACCACAACUCCUCUUGUUUCUCCUAAUUUAAUUCUAUUGUUUACUCCUUUUUUCAAUUCAUUUAAUUCACUUGCAGGAUUUUUCGAUUCUGAUGAGGAUUCGUUGCGAAUUGAGAAUUCUUUCUGUGAUAGGUUUUUAGGGUUUUUUGGGAAUGUCAGUCGUAGGUUUAGGUCUAAGGGUGUUCAUUGUAGUUGGAUUGGUGUUAAUAGUGAUGAUAAGGAGGAUGAGGUUGGUAUGAUUCGUGGUUUGUUUGAGAUUGGGACUGGGAAAUUGGGUUGGGGUUUUUGUUCUUUGGAUUCAAUUUUGCUUGGUUCUGCUCUUGUUCCUUUUGGUUUGAUAUAUCCCAAAAUUGGGGUUUCGUGGAUUUCUGUUCGUUGUUGUUCUAGGGAAGUUAAGGUUCAAUUGACUCUUGAGAUUUUGGAUGUGAAUGGGAGUCCUAUUGAGUACAAUUGCUGUGAUCUUGAAGUUUUGGAUUUUAGGGUUUUCGGUAGAGGGGAGGAUGUGAAUUUACAAGGUGGUGGAAGGAAGGAGAGGCUGUGGAAUGUGUGUUCGGAUGGAAUGGCGAAAUUGAAAGUUACGGUUGUGCGCAAGUGUGAUGCAUUUGUGAAGUUUAGGUCAUGUCUCUCUGAUUCGGUUCUGGUGCGUGAAGUUUUAGGGGAAUGUAUGAAGGGAGAUUCGGGUGGGUUUUUCGCUGAUAGGGUUCUUGAGUUGCUAGCAACUGAAUUUGGCUGUCAGGGGCGGCGAAAAUCUGUUCCCGUUUGGGAGAUGUUGUUGAGUUAUCUUUAUAAAGAAGAUUGUUGGGCUUUGGUGUCGGUUGACAGUGGUAAAGGUGGUGGUUCUUGUGUUGGUAUUCUUAGGCCUUUUACCGUUUCUUCGGCUCUUUUAUCUGUUUUGGAGGAUCCACAAUCAGCUUCUGAUUUUGGUGCAGCAAAUAUGAAUUCUUUUAUUAGGACAGGUAUUUUAAAAUCAGAUCGCAUAUUUCACAAGAACAGGGAUUUGGUGGAUUCUCAGGUCAAAGAUGUUGUGGGAAUUAAGGGUGAGCAGAAAAAGAAAAUGACAGAUUUAAGUGCACUUCGAAACCUCACAUGGAGCUCCUUUUAUGAUUUGGUAUAUGAUCAAUUUGAGAUGGAUCUGCAUGAGGUUUACUAUGCGAUGGAAUGUAACAAGUCAAAGAAGUUGAAAUUUUUAAAAUGCUGGAUGAAGCAGGUGAAGAAAUCUAGCUGCCAUGAUCUGAAUUUGUCAGAAUAUCCCAAGCCAAAUCAGAUAUUUGCAGAAGGGACUGACAGUAAAUUGAACGAGUUACCUCAAAAUGGUGAACAGCCAAUCCCGCAGGUGGUUAUGUCAGCUGGAAUUAAUGCUGAGGUUGAUACGAAAAAGGAUGAUGCGGUGCUUGAUUGUGGGUUAGAAACAUCUGAAGCAUUUUUUAGAAAUCUUUCAAACAGGAUUCAACAGGGAAUUGAAUCUGAUGUCAUAGACCUCGUAGCUUUGGCUGAGCGACUUGUUAAUUCAUCUAUUUACUGGCUAUGUCAGAAGGUUGAUAGGGAAACAAUUCCUCUGAUCCAGGUCCAUUCUCCUCUGAAAGAUAAUAAUGCUUGUGGUAGCAUGGUUGUAUCUGAAUUAGUAAAACAGUUGUUGAAGGAUCCCAAGGACAUAGCUGCAAAGCAUAAAAGUAGAGAUUCGUCCUCUCAGGCAUUUGAUGCAGCAGGACCAACUACUAUAAUCACAGAACAUGUUGUUAGAGAGUAUCCUUUUAUCACAUUUUCCGUAAUUUAUGUUUAUGAUUAUGAUGCAUAUUUUGUUUUCUAAAUUUACGGUUAUAAAAUUUGUGAAAUUUUGUUUCAUGUUUUUCCUUAAGUAAGAAUUAGAUAUGAACUGCAAAUUUUAUUUCGAUUGGAAAUUUUACAAUCAGAGGUUGGACGCGGAAUUGAAGAUUCCAGUAAACAGAAGUUUGUCAAACAAAUAUGCCUACUCUUAGAGAACAUUCAGUGCCACAUGGAAGGGGGGUUCUUUGGUGAUUGGAACCUUGAAAAUUAUGUAGCAAAGAUCAUAAAAAGCAGGUACAUGCUUAUAUUAACUCGAUUGAGAUGUCCCAUAUGUUCGCUGUUAAUUGUUCUGAAAAGUUAUAUUAUGCUUUAGCAUGAACUAUGGAGAUUUAAGGAUUUCUUAGUUUCUGUUUGGAGAUCAGUCAAUAACUCAGUUUAUUCUCAUUUUGCUGCAAUUAUGCCAAUAUAUAUGACAUUUUUUGGUGCUUGCUUCUUGUUUUGCUAUGUACUAGAGUUUUUAUGAGUUUCUUUUAGUUUGAUUCUCUUUUUUCAUGGAAACAAUGAACUUUAGUUAAUAACUGCCUAAAGUAAAGAAAGCACACACACUUAUGAUUGUGAAACCUGCGAAAUUUCAGAUAUUCUCACACCCUUGAAGACAUUGUUCAUAAAAUCUACAACAAAAUGGAUCUGCUUCUGUUUGUAAAUGAGGAUGAAGCCCCGGAUUGUUCAUUUAACAGUGAGGACAGCAGCAAAUCAUUGGAUAGAAAAUUUUACGGAGAUGAGAUGGGUGAAAAUGAUGUCGGUAAUGGACCUUUUUCAGCAGAAAACAAGCCUUUUCAUUUGCAGAAGAAUGUAAGAGGAAAAUUGCAAAGGAAUAUAGAAGGGGGUCAUAAUAAAACGCUAAUUGAAGCUCUCAAAAUUCGAAUGCCUGCUUUGCGAGUUUGGGCCCCAAAACAAAAGGGUAUGAAAUCCAAGAAAGAUCACCUUUCGAAGAUUCCAAAAAGGAAAGACCGAACAAGUGCAUGUUAUGACACAGUAUGUGAGACGCCAAUGACAAGAAACACACGGUCAAUGACAAGAAACACUGUAUGUGAAACGCCAAUGACAAGAAGCACACGGUCAAGCCCGCAGUCAAUAGGUUCAGAUGACCACAAUUACAUGGCUGAUGGGAAUCAAGUAUGUGGUUCAGUUGCUAAGGCAUUGUUUCAGGUAUGAUCUUUGAUUUGAUUAAACAAUACCUCACUCAGACUGACAGAAAAAUUGUAUAUGCCAACUACAAGAGCAAAUUGAGGCAAAUUCUGAAUACUAGAUAUAAUCUAACUUGACAUAGCUCUUUCAGUUUAGAUUGUCAGUAUUCGACCACUAAUGGUGGAAUGUUAUUGUUUGGACUCUGGAUUCAGAUUGGUUUCCCAGUAUUUACAUACAUGUCAGCUGAUUCAUUACAUUAUAAUAGUAAAUAAAUCAUAUGCUCAAUUCGAUGCAUUUGUAUAAUCAGUUUCUAUUUUAAUAGCUACUAAACUCCCUUUUUCUAUUAGAUAUUGCUUUCUGUUGUAGAUACUAAUAUCUACUACCAAGUGUAAUACUGGUGUGGUCCGAAUAUUCAGUGAUGUCAGUUUGUUGGUUAAGUUUGUAAAACUUAAAUAAGAAUUUCCAAAGAUAAGCUUAGGUAUUGUCUCCGAAAACUUCUCUUCUUCUGUUUGAUGUGUCAGACUCACAUUAUAUAUGCUUUGAGGACGAAAUUCCUCCUUAAAUCAUCAUAUCCACACAAGACGGAUGAAUGUGUAAGAUAGCCGUAAUGAUCAAUGUCUUUGCACUCCAAUUGUUUGAUAACUUUUUUGGCUAAGUAUCUGCUUGGUCUUUUCCUCUAAUCAUUAUAAAUAAAUAUUGUGAUUCUCAGACGUAAGAUCUUGCAACAAAUUUAUUUUUCAGUUUUUAUGAUUGUUGUUGAUUCAUAGUUUAUACUUGUUUGAGUGUAUCUAUGGCUUGUACAGUUGUACUUGUGUGCUUGUUAUUUAUGGUUGGUUAUUAUGAGCAAGUGGGGAUUCAAGAAUAGUUUGUUAGAUUUUCUUUAUCUAUUCGGUAGUUUAUAUCAUUCUUGUUGGAGGACUGAAUAUCAUAACUGUUGGCAUACAAUUGCGAAGUUUGAUUGCAAAAAGAUGCUCCAACCAUAUAUCCAGUGAUGACCGCCUUGGAAUGGGUUUGAGGAAAGAUUUGAACUUGUGAUUUUUUAUGUGAUGUAUAUGUGUUCGAACCAUAGUUAAAAAAAGUUCAAAAAUAUUUCCAGUCAUCGAAGAGAUUACUGGGAUAAGUUGCAGAUUAGGUCGCUCUCUUUAAGACAUUUCGUGACAUUUCCUAAAAUUGUGCAAGUAGAUUAUCAACCACGACGUCUCCAGAUAAAACAGCCCAACUAUAUUUGUAUUUGGAGUCCUGCACUGAAGGGUCUGUUCUUGAAAUACACCUUCAUUAUGGUAUUAAGAUCACUCGAAUACAAAACACUCAAAUGUGGUACAAAGACUACUCUGCUAUGAUAACCACUCAAAUGUGGUACUAAGACUACUUUGAUAUGAUAACCACUCAAAUGUUAUCACCAUUCUAACCUCUAACUUCUCCAAGGGUAGAGAAUAUUGAAAGGGAUUAUAAGACCAUUCUUAAUUUUGUAUGGACAAUAUAUCUCAAAAGAAACUAUGGUCUUAAGAAUACUCUUAAUUAUGAAGGGGCAUAAAUUGUCAAAGGGACUAUGCUCUUAAGACUAUUUUUAAUUUCGAAGAGACAUUAUAUCUCGAAAGAAACUAUGGUCUUAAGAACACACUUAAUUUCGAAGGGACGGAAAAGAGAGGGGAGAAGUGACUUGGAAAUGCAUCAAGCAGAAAGAGGGAGUUGUCUAUUACUCAAUAGAACUCUUUGGUAAUUGAAGUGAGGGAGAAUUUGAUAAGGUCUGAUUAGGACCGUCUUGAAAACAGGUAAGGAACUUGACCCUAACCCCGAUAUGUCGGUAGAAUCUACACUAUAAAAGUUAUUGACUCAAGAACAAAGGAAAAGUUCUCACAAUAUAGAAAAAAUUAAUUAAUCUUCAAAUUAUGAGUUGAGAAGUACAUGAGUUUCUUAUUUACCUAAACUUGAAAUACUAAAAAUAAUUUUAAGAUUAAUUAUACUCGCAAAAAUUGAAACAAAUUUUAAAAAUUGAGACGGAAAAUAUACUCGCAAAAUUUUAUUAUAUAGGAUAACACGUUUUACUUUGGCAUAUGACAAAGAGAAUGCUUAUGCAACCAUUACGAGCAGAAAGUCAGAUGUAUAUAGUUAUGGAACAGUUUUGCUAGAGCUAAUAAUUAGAAAAAAGGUGUUAGAUGAUUCUUCAUUGAUGGAAAAAAAAAAAAAGUCACAUUGUGUAGUGGGUUAAAUCUGUGUUGGAAGAAAUAAGAGACAAAAAUAGCAUUGUUGAUUCAAACCUUGUAAAGGAGCUUUGGGAUGAUAAACAAGAGACAAAAAUAGCAUUGAUGAUUCUUCAUUGAUGGAAGAAAAUCAUAUUUUAAACUCCUUGCGAUUCCAGUUAUAAGCCCCUGUUUCUUCUGGGUGUUCAACCGUGGAGAAUAAUUUUUCUGGUUUAAUUGUUUAUGUUAAUUAGGAUGAUAUCACUACCAUGGACAACUAUGACUUCACAUGAAUAAACUUUUCAAGUUUGAUCAGCAAAAAUUAAAGAAUUAAAAAAUCAAAUGUUUAAUCGUUGAUUUUCGAUGUGAAAUUAUGUCAUGCACCAUUCUCAAAUUUCAAACACAGCACCAUUUUCCCAAAGCCCACAUAUGGGUUUCACAGAUCGAAAGAGAGGGGAAGGCUGGGCAAAAGUACAUGGCAGAGAGUGGCUGAGGAAAAAAUACAUAAUGAGUGGCGAUGCAGUGGGGUGCGGCGGUGGCACAGUGGGUCAGUCAGGACAGAAGCUGUGAUGGAGAGAAGGGUUGAAUGUGAUUUGAUACAGGCAUGUGUAGUGUAAGCUCGGGAAAAACACUGUGAAUGUACUCCCUCAAAUGAAAUAUAAGCGAAAAAAAUGUAGUUGAAAAGUUGUUUGUGGAGUAUAUUUUUAAGCAGAUACAUCAAUUUUUUAACUAUCAUUUUUGCUUAUAUUUCAUUACAGAUUAAUACCGUAUGCGACAUGUUAGACUCGCACACCCUAGUCUUGGCCCUUCAGGAUAUAUAAUUACAUUUUCACAGAACAAUCAAGUUUUGCAGCCCAAGUUCUAAAAAUCAGUUUUGGAGACUGAAACUGGUAUUCUGAACCAAAUAACCAGUUCAGUUUGGGUUGUAUGAAAACCUGUUCAGCUUGGUCUGGCUUACUGAACUGAACCAAACCUUUGAUAAUCAGAAUAAUUCCAAAAUACUCUAAUCUUUGGCAUUCCACAUACCUCCCUCUAGUUUAGAGCUCAACUGCUCAACUUUUAACUUCAUUUCAUUGAAUAUUGCUAUCUAAAUAAUUGGCUCCGCAUUGGACAUAUGAUAUCUAGUUUGCCUAUUUUACAUAUUAGAUGUAAUGUAAAGGACAACAGGAUACAAGUGAACAUCAAAAAAUGAAAAAUCUGUUAAUGAGGAUUGAAUCGAGAAGUAUCCUCAGGCACAUACUUAGGCCUCAUCAUAUUAUAAUUGUAUUGGUCAUACUUUGUAUUAAAAUAACCAGCGGCCCUCAUUUCAAGUGGCUUUUGCUCGGUUCCAACAGCGCCCGAAACUUCUUCACUCUUUUCCCGUCGCCGGUGUCUUGACCUUUGUUUCUGGAUCUUGGAUUUAGUGGGAGCUGGAAUCUCACUUGAUCCAUAAAACUCAGCAUAUUCCUGUCUCUUUGAUGAAUGGUGCUUGCUCGGCAAAGAAGGAUCCUUGGGAGUGCUUGAUUUUACCUUAGCAAUCUUUGUUUCUGAAUAUUUUUCGGCUGCACUUUUAAGAUGGAUCUUCCUGGUUUCAGUAAGAGGAGGAGCAAGAGCACUCUGCCUUUUGACCAACAGUGGCUCUAAUUCAUCUUCAGGCAUCAGAAGACGAUCUUUCAGUGGUGUGAGGCCUCUCCUAGUGCUAUCAGGUCUGAAAUGCGAGGGUAUAAAUUUAGGAAAAUGUUACAUAGACACAUUUUAUUCUCAUACACCUCAUGAACUAGGAAGAGAGAAGAGAAGAGGAAAGAGAAAGUGUGCUUGUGCAGGGUCCACGUGUCACAUUUUUAUGUGGGUGUCAAAGAGUGUAUUGCCACCUAAGGAUGUCUAUGUAUCAUUACUCAUAAAUUUAAGGAUCGAACUAGUAAAUUCUUCCAGAGAGAGCUUCAAAAGAUCAACAACUUGUCUAAAGGAUGGCCAUCCCGUCUCCUCUUUAGUUCUCUCUAGAGUAGACUUAGAUUUAUCACUGCUUGCUUCGCCUUUAAAAUCUCUUUCUGAUGGUUGCUGCAGCAUGUAUGCAAUGUAAACACCAAGAAUAAAAUAUAGCUCUUAAGUUAUUUUAUCAUUACAAAUUUUUUUGAGGAAAAAUAGGCAUACCAUUUUUUAAAAGAAAGAGGAUCCCAAUCCCUGCUGAAGCAUGGAUGCAGCAUAUCCUACUAUCACAGCACCAACAAUUGUAAGGAUAUCUGCAGAAAACCAGCAAGAGUAAUGCAAUUUAAUAUAAAAAUCUAAGUUAAUUGGUAGUAGAGAGCCUAUAGGGGACUAAAUAGUAAGAUGAAGCCACUAAAAUAAUAAAAUUAAAAGUCACUUAACGGCGACUAUAUUCCCACAGAUGAUUAUUAAUGGUGCCUUCUCUUCCGGUUGAUGAUCAUCUUGAUGGUGACUUUUGUUUUGUUGUAACAAGCUGUGUGCAUAUGUCAUGUAUGCUCCAGCUUGAGGGGGGUAUUAAAAUUAAGAUGGGUUUACAAUAAAUGCAUUGGAUGCUUAAUGAGUAAGCAGUAGCCUAGGAAGUUGUAUACUAUAUAGGAUUAAUAAGAAUCAAUCUAGGAAGUUGUAUACACUAGGAGUAAGAAGAAUCAAUCUAAAGAUUCUUAAUUUUAACAGUCUCGAUGAGUUAACUAGAAAGCUAAAACUUUGUUUUCAAGUUUGUUGAAGCACAAUAACACAACAGAGAUGGAAGCAGCAUUGAUAAGAGAUCAACGACAGGAGGAACACAGUGGUCUUCAAUUGCUUGCACCACAAGUUACAGAAGCCAAGCACUAGUGAAGAGUUAGUUAGAGAUAAUAACUAACUUCCUUGAAUAUAGGAAAGUUAGGCAGUGAUGUAGUGUAGCUAGUACAUGUUAGUCUUAUAGUGCAGUAGCAAUAACCAACUAUAAAAGACAAUUCUAUAACUAACUUCAUUUCAAUGAGAAUUCUACACUUUCUCUUUCACUUUUUCUCUGUUUUCUCUCCUUUUCAUUUCAACAUUCUUGAGAUUUACAUGCCUGUUCCCAAUUGUGUAUGUAGAGUACGUUGUUCAUGUGAAUUCAUGUGUAAUGCAAGACGCAAUCAUACUCUGCUUUAUGCCAUUAGGUUCUUAAUUGGUUUGAAUGAAAAUUUUGCUAUGGUUAAGUCUCAGAUCUUGUUGAUGGAUCCUCUACCCCUGUACCCCCCUGUAAAAUUUACAGGGGGGUAAAUCAAAAAAAUUAUUUUACAGGGGGGAAAACCAAAAAUGACCUAUAUUACAGGGGGAUAAAGUACCAUUAACCCUAUUUUUUAACUGUUGUUGAUGAUUUUAGUAGAUAUACUUGGAUAACUUUAAUGAAAUCAAAGAGUGAAACAAGGCAACAUGUCAUUGAUUUUAUCACAUUAAUUGAAAACCAACAUGAUUGUCAUGUGAAAAUUGUUAGAAGUGAUAAUGGCCCUUUGUUCAUUAUUCCUCAAUUUUAUGCUUCAAAAGGAAUUUUGCAUCAAACUAGUUGUGUUGAAACACCUCAACAAAAUGCAAGGGUGAAAAGAAAACAUCAACACAUUUUAAACAUCACCAGAGCUUUGCUUUUUCAAUCACAUUUACCCAAGAAUUUUUGGUCAUAUGUUGCUAUUCAUGUUGUUUUCAUCAUGAACAGAGUUCCCAGUCCCAUUUUGAACAAUCAAACACCUUAUUUCUUAUUGCACAAUCAAACUCCUGAUUUGCAUCAUUAAAAAGUUUUUGGCUCUUUAGCUUAUGCAUCAACUCUUCAGGCAAAUAGAAUUAAACUUGAUCCUAGAGCAAGAAAGUGUGUUUUUCUUGGUUACAAAGAGUGGAAUGAAAAGGGUCAUCCUUCUUGAUAUUCAUUCUAAACAAAUAUUUGCCUCUAUAAAUGUCACUCAUCAUGAGUGCAUUUUUCCUUAUAAACAAAGUUCUUCAAAUGUUUCUUGGGAUUAUCAUACCCAUAUAGCACAAGACUAUGAAGUCAGUUCUGUCACCAAUAUCUCUCCAUCUACUGAAACUGUGUCUGACAUUUCUCAACCCCCCAUUUCAACUUCCACUAAUAAUCAAAUCCCUUCCACCUCUGAUACUGCUCCACCUCCUUCUUUACCUGUUGUGCACAAAUCUACUAGAGUUAGAUCUGCUCCAAGUUAUUUGAAAGAUUACAUAUGCAAUAACUCUUCUACUACUUCAUCAUCAAAAUCAGUCAACCCAGGUAUUUCUUAUCUCAUCACUCAUUUUCAUUCUUUUGAUCAUCUUUCUCCAUUACAUAAAGUGUUUUCCAUUUCUAUCACACAAAGUACUGAGCCUAAAACCUACAAAGAAGCAUGUCAGUCUGAACAUUGGUUGAAAGCUAUGAAUGAUGAAUUAAAGGCUUUAACUGAUAAUGGUACCUAGUCCAUUGUGAAUUUACCACCCAAUGUGAAGCCAAUUGGAAGCAAAUGGGUGUAUAGAGUGAAACAUAAGGCAGAUGGCUCUAUUGAAAGGUACAAAGCCAGACUGGUAGCAAAAGGUUACAAUCAAAUUGAGGGCUUGGAUUUUUUUGACACCUUUUCUCCUGUUGCCAAACUCACAACAGUUAGAACUCUUCUAGCUAUUGCUUCCCUCAAACACUGGCAUUUACAUCAGUUAGAUGUAAACAAUGCAUUUCUUCAUGAAGAUUUGCAGGAAGAUGUUUUCAUGAAUAUACCAAAAGGAUUUUUCAGUUUGCUUGGCAAAGUUUUCAAGUUACGGAAAAGUCUCUAUGGCUUAAAACAAGCUAGUAGAAAAUGGUAUGAGAAGUUGACUGCAUUGUUACUUCAUGAAGGAUAUUGCCAGUCCUCCCCUGAUUACUCCUUAUUCACUCUUCAACAUAAUAAUGAUUUCACAGCAAUCUUAGUUUAUGUUGAUGACAUUAUAUUAGCUCGUACUUCUCUCACUGAAUUUCAAAGAAUCAAAUCUAUUCUAGAUGCUCAUUUCAAGAUUAAAGAUUUAGGCAUUCUCAAAUACUUCUUAGGAUUGGAAGUUGCUCACUCUAAAGAAGGCAUUUCAAUUUCCCAAAGGAAGUAUUGUUUGGAUUUACUUGAAUCUUUUGGUCUCUUGGGCUCUAAGCUUGCAUCCACACCUUUAGAUACUUCAAUAAAAUUGCAUCAAGACACAAGUCAACCUUUUGAAGAUGUGUCUUGCUACAGGAGGUUGAUUGGAAGAUUGUUGUAUCUAAAUACCACAAGACCAGAUAUUUCUUUGGCUACUCAACAGUUGAGUCAAUUCUUAAAUGCUCCAACUAUUACACACUAUAAAGCUGCCAGAAGAAUAUUGAGAUAUCUUAAAAAUGAUCCUGGUCUUGGUCUCUUCUUUUCUAGAGCUUCAGAAACCCAAAUUCUUAGAUAUGUGGAUGCAGAUUGGGCAGGUUGUGUGGAUUCCAGAAGAUCCACAACUGGAUUUUGUUUCUUUUUAGGUUCUUCACUCAUGUCUUGGAGAGCUAAAAAGCAAGCAACUGUUUCUAAAAAGCAAGCAACUGCCACCUGUGAACUUCAGUGGUUAUUAUACCUACCGAAGGACUUCAGAAUUCACUGCAGCAAGCAACCAGUUUUAUAUUAUGAUAGUCAGAGUGCAAUACAUAUUGCUUCCAAUCCAGUUUUUCAUGAGAGAACAAAGCAUUUGGAAAUAGAUUGUCAUCUGGUCAGAGAGAAGAUUCAAAAAGGAAUACCCAGACUUCUUCCUAUCUCAACACAUGAACAAUUAGCAGACUUUUUGACAAAGCCUUUAGCACCUCCAAAGUUCAAUCAAUUUAUUUGCAAGCUUGGACUGAUAAAUAUUUAUCAUGGUCAAGCUUGUGGGAGGAUGUUGAAGCACAAUAACACAAUAGAGAUGGAAGCAGCAUUGAUAAGAGAUCAACAAUAGGACGAACACAGUGGUCUUCAAUUGCUUGCACCACAAGUUACAGAAGCCAAGCACUAGUGAAGAGUUAGUUAGAGAUAAUAAGUAACUUCCUUGAAUAUAGGAAAGUUAGGCAGUGAUGCAGUGUAGCUAGUACAUGUUAGUCUUAUAGUGCAGUAGCAAUAACCAACUAUAAAAGACAAUUCUGUAACUAACUUCAUUUUAAUGAGAAUUCUACACUUUCUCUUUCACUUUUUCUCUCUUUUCUCUCCUUUUCAUUUCAACAUUCUUGUUACUCAAUAAAGUUUUCAUAUGCCCCGUUUCUUAGUUCAAUUCUCAAAAAUUCAGUAAAUUCACAUCAGCAACAUUUUUUUUUCAUCAAAAUAUGUGUUAAAGAAGGGGACCAUUGGUGCAAUGUUGGUUUUAUUGCUCUAUAACUAAAAGGCCAUGGGUUCAAGGCAUAGAUUUAGCCUCUUGUUGUAGAAAUGCAAGGUAUGGUAUGGCUACCUGCAAUAUAUUCAUAAUGGGUUUGACUCUCCGUAGAUCUUGUCAAGGCAAAAUGUUCAUAUAAUCACUUUUUUCAAAGCAUAAACAAACAGACCCUUUAUGUAUUUGCCAAACAAGUCUAGGUUACAACUGCUCCUUUAAAUUUGACAAUUUGACAACAGAAUCGAAUCAAGAAACCUACCAUUGCAUAAAAAAUAAAAAAACAACUAAUAAAAUGUGUGUUUGGUAUACCGGUGGCGAGAAUUGAUAAAACAAUGUUUACACUCUUGUUUCUGUCGCUUUGCCUUUUUCUUUUCUCCAUAACCUUCUUUCAUCUAUCAACACCGAUUCUUUUUCCUACAUCUCAAUAAUUUCAUUCAUCCUUUCAAACGGAGUGAAAUUCAGAGGGAAAUUAAAAUCCCUUCUUUAAUGGUUUCAUGAUUUAUCUGUUUAUGCCUUGCAGAGGGAUAGUCAGAUCUGUGUGUGGUUGUGAGUUUCAGAGGUAAAAAGUGCAAGAUCUGGGUGGGGUGAAGAAGAAAGUUAUGGGUAAUUUGGUAAAAUGUUUCAAUCACCAAAAUUUAAAAUCCAAACUCGAUUUUGCUUUGCUGUAGAAGCUAGGAUUUUCAGCUUCAUCUCUACUGGCGUUUUGGACCCAAAACCACGUGAAUCACUUUUUCUUCAUCCAAACAACACAAAAAAUGGGGAAACUGCGUUUUGUAAAGUAAACGUGGGUUUGGCUUCUGAAAACGUGUUGCCAAACACACACACUGUUAGAUGAAAAAAAAUGCCAUCAGAGAUAUGCAAGGAAACUAUCGCAGAAGCAUUUGUCCAACAACUGAUGUUUGCAUUAGUCUCUGUUCUUUCUUCACUGAUGCCAAACAAUCAACACACAAACUAUUUUUCUCUGUUCUUUCUUCACAACUGAUAUUGAUAUGACCUUAUUCUUCUUUCUUUUCUUUUAGUUUGUGUAAAUUGUAAUCGGUUGGUGAUAUCCAAAAUUCAGAACCUGUUUUGUACUUACAUGUUUGUAAGGUCAAAUAAAAGCACCAGACUGUUAUCAUAUAAUAUAUCAAGAGAGAUGAUGAUUAACCAAACAUACCAAACAAAGAUUUAGAAUUUAAACCUGUCAAAGAAAUUGAACUAGAUUGAUAAUUACAAUCCUCCUGGUUGAGAAAAAUUUGCCGAAGAGCGGCAUUUCCUCUAUCAAUAACCAACAAGGAACAAGUUGGCCGAAUGUACACCACGUCAAAAUCAUUUGAGAGCUUAGCAUCCUCACCAGGCCCGUCCCUGUAGCCUGCGACAUUUGACUUUCCUCCAGCAAUGGUUGUCACACCUAAAAAAAAUAAAAAGAUCAGCUACAAUGAGUCAUCAUUUGUUUUCACAGUUCACAUAGUAACAGAACACUUAUCUAUUGAAUUUGAAUAAGAAAAUUUAUUUUCAAACUCAACUUUGAUGUUGUCAGAUACUAGUAGACCAUAUUAUUCCUCACUAGAUCCUGAAAACAUGUAUUCUUUUAACUUGGUUAACACGUACCAGCAUCUCCAAUUUUUCUGAUGGCCAUAUUCUGAGUAUCAGCAACAUAAACAUUCCCUUUAUCAUCCAGGGCUAUGCCUUUCGGAUAAUGAAAACGAGCAUCACUUAGCUUUCCGUCCACAUGACCUGUUCGGCCCAGAAAUGACCCAGCCACUAAUCUUUCUCUACUAUCUGCAAUAAUAUAACGAAAUAAAAGUGGGAAUUAAUUGCUAAGUCCAAAUAUCUGUUUCGUUAACUGCAACUGAUGCUGCUCGCAUGCUGCUAUUUGCAUACAUAAAUAAAUAAAGUACAAUGAAGCUUAUGAGUUCCUCCUCUUUUUUUUUUCUCUUCAUUUUCUUCUUCCUUUUUCAUCUUUGUGUUUGGAGAACUAAGAGCUCAUUUACUUCUUGAGUUUUCUAUUUCCAUUUCUACUGAUGCAUUAUGGAAGUUUUUAAAAAUUCGUUGUUUUCGGAAAUGCAUUCUCUCUAGUUAGCUUCUAUAUUCUGUCUAUCACAAUUAGAAAGAAAAAUUCAUAAACAAAUGGCAUUCCAGCCACCUACAUUCAAAGAAAAAAUUGAAAAUGUUGUUAGAAAGUUAACAGACCCUAAGCAACCAACCAUACAUACAUUGGGACAACGGCGGGGUGAUUCGAACAAUGUUGCUAUUAAUUGCAUCAACAGCAAAGAGUUCAUUUCAUCCUCGUCUCAACUACAUAACCAUUCUCAAAUUGAACAACAUUCCCAUCUGAUAACGUCACAAUACAAUUAACAAAUUAGUCCUCAAACUCUAUGAACAUAGACACCGGACACUGAUACGUCGACACCAAUAAUAAUUUAAAAAACAUAAUCACAUAGAUGAAACCUGAUUUUGAGGUCUUGGUGUUAGACAAUUUCCGUAUGAGAAGUGAAGAUAGAUGGUUGAUCAAUGUUCCUCCUGAUAAAUCUAUCACACCCAAUAAGGAAUGAAGUUUGAAGAAAAGGGAAAAUGAAAAGUUAGUUAGUUAGUUAACCUAAAGGAGUAGCGUGAGCUGAAAAAUGAAGAGAGAGGAGAGCAAGAGCAUAAAACAGUACGAAGUUUCUCAUUUUAGUAUGUUUGUGAGCCAAAUUCAACAUCAAGUACUUGUACUUUUACUUCAUUGUUCCCUUCACCGACCCAAUCUCUUUCACACAUACAAACAAACACUAGCACAUCAGGAAAAUAUGUUGAUGUAAAUGUUAUAAGAAAUACUUUUUUUAGGGAACUUUAUAAGAAAAUCUUGUGGGUUUAACUUUGCAAGAACAAUAGAUACUGCACCCUCCUGUCACUAUUUAUUUAUUUUUUUUAAGAAUUCUGUAGAGACAUGAGUAUUCCAAAUAUUUGAAUAUAGUCACAUUUGUAUUCAUAUGUUUACUCUAUCAUUUUAUGCGAUUAAUAUGGAUGUUGUGUGUUUGUUCACAGCUUUAUCUUUUUUUAUUUUAGCAAAUUUGUAUUGUAUCGACAAAAUAAUAUAUCAAAUUGAAUGAAUGAAUGAAUAUCGUUUAUUUUUGUCAAAAAAAAUAUUUAACUUUUUUCCGUAUGUAUGUUAAAAACAAUUGUUAAACCAUCAAUUGAUUGAUUCAAGUGGUAAAUGAUUUUCAUCAAUUAAAUAUGUGGUUGGAGGUUUGAUUAUUUGUCUCAUGCGAAAGGAAAAAAUGAGGGGACAAAAAACACAAUAAAUAUUUCAAUCCAUUAUCAUUCAUUUUCUCUCAUCUCUUAAAAAAAAAAUAAAGAAUAAGAUAAAUCUAUUUUUUGAAAUCUUAUUUUUUAACAGCUUCUCAUUUGAAUGUUUUUUUAAUUCUUUUUAUAUUCUAACUUUUUUAAAAAGUCAUAAGGAAAGGAUGUAAUGCUCUUAUCAGUGAUUUUUUUUUUUUUUUUAAAGUGUUUUUUUCUUAAAAAACCUAGAACAAUCAACCUCUUAGUUUUUGGAUCCAAUCAUAUAAAAGGGGUUUUUGGUACAGAAUAUAGGUGAGGAAAACACAAAAAGGGGGGUUGAAUUGUGUUGCCUUUUUCAAACUUACACAAACACUAUAACGCCCUAUUUUAUUAUUUAUUUAUUUUAAUUGAGUUUAGAUGUCUUUUUAUAAUUUAGUCGAUUUAUUUUGAUGAGUGAUAUUUUGUUAUGUUAUAUGUUGGUAUAUAUUAGUAAAAUAUAUUAUGUUAUUUGGUGUUGAAAUAUUAUGUUAUUUGGUGUAGAAAUAUAUAUGUUAUGUGAUGUAGAAAAAUAUUUGUUAUUUGGUGUAGAAAUAUAUUUGUUAUUUGGUGUAGAAAUAUAUAUGUUAUCUGGUGUAAAAAUAUAUAUUGUUAUUUGGUGUAGAAAUAUAUAUUUUAUCUGGUGUAGAAAUAUAUAUAUGUUAUAGAAAUAUAUUUGUUAUUUGUUAUAAAAAUAUUAUAUAUAUAUAUAUAUAUAUAUAUAUAUAUAUAUAUAUAUAUAUUAAUAUUGAGACUUGGAGGGCAGAUUUGGAAAUAACAGAAAAUAAGUAGGUUAAGGAUUUAUAUAAAAGGGGAGAGUUAGAAUUAGAAAAUAAGGAUUACGUAAAACCUGUUUUUGGAGAAAAAUGGAGAAAAUCAAGAGAAGAGAAGAGUCAGAUGAGAGAAAGCGGUAGAGUCCUUCGUCGAUCAGUGUAAGGUAAGGGUGAGACUAACUUUCUCUAAUUCUAAGUUGUAUAAUUCUGAAAUUGAGUUUAGCAUGUUGUAGGUUGUAGUUAUGAGAAUUUGGGAAUUAGGUUUUGAAGUUGUAAUUGGUUGUUAAUAGAGUAGAAAAUUCGUUGAAUUUGUGUAGAAUUGAUGUUCAUAUCAUGGGUUAUUCUUAGUGCAAUGUUUUAUAUAGUUUUGAGUGCCUUAACAUGUAUAGAAAUAGUUAGACAAGUUUUUGGAUCAAAUUUGGGCAUAGGGAAGUUAAAAUUGGGAUUUUGGGGUGAAAAGUGAGUUUUUCCCGAGUUGCUCUCUGACAGCACGUCCUGUUUCAUGUUCUUGCGUCUUUUUCACACGUUUCUGUAUUGAAUUGACCUUUGGUGUAAACAUGAAAGUUUUAGAUAAUUAUGUUAGCUUUCCAGUGGCUUUGGUUUGACUUGAAAAUGAUUUUUGGUUUUUGAGUUAUAAUGAAAAUACUCCAAAGAGGUCUUAGUGAAAUUUUAUGAAAAUUCAGCAUAACCGUUUCUAAGUCAGUCCAAAACUUAGAGAAUAAUUCCAAACCUCAAACUAGAAGUACUAGGAGUUUAAUUAAGGGGGCUUAAGAUUAUUUAACCUAUGUUGUGAUGGAUCUAAUUGGUUUGACGUGAAUAUCUUUGUUGAAUAAUUUGAAAUACAUAUACUAUAUGAAUGUUCUUGUUGAAUAAUUUGAGGUACAUAUAUUAUGUGAAUAUUGUAUGAUAUAAAAAUAAUGUUGUUAUACCAUCAAGUGGUUAUUAUUAAUGUUGUUAUGAUUCAAGUUGUUGUAUGUUGUUGUCUCUGCUGUUAUUGAUUAUUAAAUUAUUAAGUUGCAUAUGUUGGUCAAAGUUGUCAAGUUGUAAGUUGUUGUUCCAAGAUAUUGGAGUCAUAUGAGUUGUUGAAGUUGUCUAAGUUGUAAGUUGCUGAGUCCAUGCAUAUUCAUUUAAAGUUGAGGGCUUGAUGCUCUGUGAGUGUAUUUAUGCUCUUUAUGUUGAGGGCUUGAUGCCCUGGUUGGUACCACAUGCAUGAUUAAGUUGUUGUAGUUGCAUUGUCGAGUUGACGUCGUUGUUGUCGCAUUGUCGUUGUUGUUAAGUUGUCAUUUAUCAAUGAGUUGUUAAUGAAGAAUUAUGGGAGAGAGAGACUUUUAGUCCCCUUGCACAUCUAAGAGAGUUUUACUAUAAUCUCAAAUAUUACAAUUGUUCAAUCACACAAGCAAGAGACUUUCAAAUGCUCAAACACACAAGCAAGAGACUUCUUAUUGUCUAACUUAAUCAAAUAAAAGGUUGUUUGAUUUUUACACUUGAUAUACAACAAAGGUGUGAACAAAAUACAAAACACAGUUAGACUCCUAAGACUUUAUAAUUUCUAAGAUAUAAACUUGGUAAGAAAUUCUUAAAUGUUUAUGCUUUUUUGAAUUUGACAUAUUAAUGGCACUUGUAAAAACUACAGAGUCUUAUUGAUUUUUUCAAGUCUUCGACUCCUUGUAUAGGGAAAAAAAAUGAGAGACGUUACAGAGUUGUCAGAGCAUUAAGAGUCCUUAAGAAGCUUCCAAAUCAAGACAUUGAGAAGAGCUUCAUUGGUUGUCGGUUGAUAUUAUGGCUUCGUCUAAAUUAUUCACAAUUAUGCAGUUGCAAAAAUCUCAAAUAAACUGGUUGGGGGGGGGGGGGGUGAUAACUCUAAAUUUUUCCAUGGGGUUAUGUCCUCUAUGAGACACUCGAAUAUUAUUAUUUCUUUUUUAGUGAAUGGGGCGCAAAUAGAGGGGGUCAAAGGUGUGAGAAGUGUUGUUUUCAAUCAUUUCAAUAACCAUUUCAAAAAGGUGGAGAUAAAUAGACUAGGUUUGGGGGAUUUAUUGUUUAAGACUACUGAUGAUGUUGAGGGGUUAAUCUUAUUAAACCUUUUUUGAUGGGGGAAACAAACGAAGCGAUGUGGAAGUGUGUUAUUUUUAAGAGUUCAUGGCAUGAUAUAAACCUCGAUUAAAGACUUUUGGGAUAUGUUGAAGGUGGAUUUGAUAUUAUUUUUUUUUGUGGAAUUUUACUGUAAUGGCAGGUUGACAAAAGGUUUGAAUAAUACUUUCAUUGCUUUAAAUUUAAAAGUGGAGAACCCGCAAAGACUGGCAAAUUUUAAGCCCAUCUCUUUGGUUAGUAACUUGUUUAAAACUGUGUAUAAGUUAUGAAUUGUAAGCACAUCUCUUUUGAAAUUCAUGUGGUGGGUUCUUGGCUGCAUGAGGCAACAUAAGUUAUGAAUUGUAAGCAUGGUAGUAUUCCUUUUGUGUAUUUGAGGCUGCCUAUCGGUGGUGAUCCGAGAAAGCUUCAGUUUUGGUAUCCUUUGGUUGAUCAUAUUAGAGGUAGACUGUCUGGUUGGAAGAGUAAAAAAGUUUUCUUGCAUGGUUGGCUGAUUCUCCUGAAAUUUGUAUUGUCGUCCAUUCUGAUCUAUUUUCUUUCCUUAUUUAGUUGAUAGUGGAAAACACAAACAUAAAAGUUGGGAAUGAAAUGGUAAAGAACAAUUACAGUUUAUGGGUGUUUUAAUUUUAUUUACAGAGUGCAUAAUGUGAAGAAAGGAAUUCAGCGGUAGUUAACUACCGCUGGAGGCAUUUAAGUAUUUUAUUUGUGUCGUCAGGAAACUUUUGAUGUCAAAAAAACUACUUUCUAACUUUUAACAUAAUUUGGAUUUCAGUUCUUUUUAUUAUUUGAAAGGAUCUCAAUAAGAGACAUUUUAAUAAUAAGACGGAACAAUUUUCCUCUUUAUUGAAAAAUGUUAAACUUCAAGUUUAUUGGUGGCUAUUAUGCCCUUUUCAAUUUUUAGUACACGAUUUAAAGAUUGAGUAAUUUGUUAUGCUUUCAGGUUGUAAGAUAAUUCUUUAUUUUCCUUCGACUACUGUGUAGUAACUUAUCUGUGCUUUUGUAUCAUCUAAACAUUUUAACUUUCUUUGAUACACCUUGUACUAGAGGAACUUUAGUUGAUUUUUAAUUUAUUUGUUUAACUUUUUCAAAAAAUAAAAUAAAGACAAAUGUAAUCAAAAAUUUAUUUUCAUAAAUUUUUAUUUUAUUUAUUUAUAUAUUUUGAAUUUAUCUAACGAAAGAAUAAACAUUGUUCGAGUCACGACAAAUCAUUUCUUACAUAGAAAAAGAAAAAAUCUCCUCUCCUCUACGAAUAGGAAUUUAUAUAUAUAUAUAUAUAUAUAUAAUAAUUAAAAAUGAAAAAGCCAUAAAUAUAGCGUCAUAGGAGCGAAAAUCCAUCGCUGAUUGGACAUUUUGUGGCUUUUCCCACCUUUACCUACUCUCGUAGUAUUUUUAUUUAAUUUUCAGAAAAAUAUUUCUAGUUAUGAAAAAAAGUGACGCGUAAAAAACAAAAAAACAAGAAAGAGGUCAAAAUUGAAAACUUUCGCCACAUCAGAAUAAAAAGGCACGUGUCUGAAUAUCAUUGGCUAGCCCACGUAAACCUCUCCUCCACCCUUUCUUCUAUUUGAAUCGGAAGCUCUAAUUCUCAGAUCCACUUCUUACCCACCGGAACCAAAUUUCUCAAUCUCUCUCUCUCUCUCUCUCUCUCUCAAUCGAUCUUUCACAAAUAGGUAAAUCUCUUUCUCUCUCAUUCUCAGAUUUGUAUCAAUUCAUCGGAUUCGUUCGAUCUUCGUUGUAUGCAUGUGCGUUAACGAUGUAUAAUUUGUCUGGAUCAACAUUGUGUGAGAAAAUUGUUGAUCUGUUGCGUGUAAUUAGGGUUUUGAAUUCGUGUAUGUUCGGAUUUAUGUUUUGUUUGUGCUUGUGUUUCGGAUUUAUGUUUUGUUUGUGCUUGUGUUUCGGAUUUAUGUUUUGAAUGUAUUCAUACGGAUCUAGCUGGAUCGAGGUGGAUUUUUGGUUUUACGAUGAUUUUGUCGUGUUAACCUAGUUUAUUUGUUUGUAUUAUUAUUUAAUGCAUGUACCAAAAUAUUGAAUUAUUUGAUUAAUAUAUGGAUAAUUGAAUUCGUAAGUUCUUUGAAUUCAUGAAUCUUAACUGAGUAAUUUGCUUUGUAAUGUAAUGUAAUGUCGUUGAAUUGGAUAUUGUCUUUGUUUUUGUUUUCCUGUGUGUUUGUUUCAAUGCUCAAAAUCAUUAUAUCUGCAUGUUUCUUGGUUAUUUCUCUUGCAACAUGCAAAACAUCAUGUCUUAUUUAUAUGUUGAAAUUCAAUUCAAUUCAAUUCAUAUCUAUUUGAUUUGAUUUUGAUGCCGAGGUGUUCUUAGUUAUAAUUGCGGUGUAAAUUUUGUGGUGCAGGUUAAAUAAGAUGGGAGGUGGGUUUAGGGUACUUCACUUAGUAAGGCCAUUUCUAUCAUUCCUUCCUGAAGUUCAGACCGCGGACAGGAAAGUGCCGUUUAGAGAGAAGGUCAUCUAUACGGUGAUCUCCCUCUUCAUUUUUCUUGUUUGUAGUCAGCUUCCUCUGUAUGGAAUACACUCGACAACAGGUGCAGAUCCAUUCUAUUGGAUGCGUGUUAUCCUUGCUUCAAACCGUGGAACUGUUAUGGAGCUUGGAAUCACCCCCAUUGUCACUUCUGGACUUGUAAUGCAGCUUUUGGCUGGUUCUAAGAUCAUUGAAGUCGACAACAAUGUCCGCGAGGAUCGUGCUCUCUUGUAAGUAAUUUAUUUCUGCAUAUUUCUUGUUGAGUUUUGGGUGCAAUAUGGUGGAAAAUUUUGUUUGAUCUAAUAUGCAAAAGUAGAUUGGCUAAUGAGAUAAAUUACUCUUUGCUCGCAGAAACGGUGCACAGAAGCUACUUGGCAUCUUGAUAGCUGUUGGAGAGGCUGUUGCCUAUGUUCUUUCUGGAAUGUAUGGUAGUGUAGGCCAGCUUGGAGUGGGAAAUGCCAUCCUUAUCAUCCUCCAGCUCUUUUUUGCCGGUAUCAUUGUCAUAUGUUUAGAUGAGCUCCUUCAAAAAGGCUAUGGUUUGGGAUCUGGAAUUUCUCUAUUCAUUGCCACUAAUAUCUGGUAAAUUUUGCUUUGCCUUUUUUUUUUUCUCUUCCCUUUUCUACAUUAUCAUUAUUUAUGGAUUGCGCUAUUGCAACUACUAUACAAAAAAAAAAACUAAGGAUGAAUUCUCUCAUUUGGAUGCAGUGAAAAUAUUAUAUGGAAAGCAUUUAGUCCCACAACCAUUAACAGUGGUCGGGGAGCUGAGUUUGAGGGUGCUGUUAUUGCUCUAUUCCAUUUGUUGAUAACUAGAACAGACAAGGUUCGUGCCCUUCGGGAAGCAUUUUACCGGCAGAAUCUUCCCAAUGUCACAAAUCUGCUAGCUACUGUCUUGAUCUUCCUAAUUGUGAUAUACUUCCAAGGUUUCCGCGUGGUUUUGCCUGUAAGGUCAAAGAAUGCCCGUGGACAGCAGGGUUCAUAUCCAAUCAAACUGUUUUACACCUCCAACAUGCCCAUUAUUCUUCAGUCUGCCCUUGUUUCCAAUCUCUACUUCAUUUCCCAGGUAGUAGAGUUGAAUUAUGGUAUGUUGCUAAUUCGAGUAAAUAUAUUUCUAUCCAUUUUAACAAUAUGAUUUUACUGGAUUUUUACAGCUGCUACACAGAAAAUACAGUGGAAACUUCAUUGUGAAUCUGUUGGGCAAAUGGAAGGAAUCUGAAUAUGGAGGUGGUCACUCUAUUCCUGUUGGUGGCAUUGCAUACUAUAUAACUGCACCCUCUAGGUAAUUAUACCCAUUAGAUUCUUUGCCUAGUUUCAUAUAAAGCUUCAAUCGAUAUUUAAUGAUAUUUAUUGUCUUAGCUCUAAUUUGUCAUUUUGAACUGUUAUGUUUUACAGCUUAGCUGAUAUGGCAGCCAAUCCUUUCCAUGCAUUGUUCUACCUUGUGUUUAUGUUGUCAGCAUGUGCCUUGUUCUCUAAAACUUGGAUUGAAGUGUCUGGUUCGUCUGCUAGAGAUGUUGCCAAGCAGUUGAAGGUACAGAUUUGACAAGCAUUUAUGUAAAAUUCUUUCUUGUUCUAUACUUUUAUCUAGUACUUAGGUUUAUAACGAGCAUUUUUUUCUCAGCACAUGUUCAUAACAAAAAUAUUCAUUUGCUGAAAAUAAGCAGCGUGACUUGUUUAUUUACGAAGUGUCAAUAUGCUGAAAGUUUUUUUUUUUCCCCAAUCGUUUUAUUUACACUUGUCUUCACUUAAAACACUUUGCUGAUUAUUUUUUAGGCUUUAAAUACUUGCUUCUGAUUUAACAGACUGAAUUUUUUAUCAUGAUGGCAUCUCUACUAUAUUGCUUUUCUGCAGUUGAUAACUGUCUUAAGGCUAUUCACUUUUUAAACACUGAAAUUGGUCUUUGUAGUGAAGUCUUGGUUUUAUUUCUUUCUAGUUCUAAACAAUCAUUUUUCAACGUGCAGGAACAACAAAUGGUAAUGCCUGGUCAUCGGGAAUCAAAUUUGCAAAAAGAGCUGAACCGAUAUAUUCCCACUGCUGCUGCAUUUGGAGGAAUGUGUAUUGGUGCCCUAACAGUAUUGGCAGAUUUCAUGGGUGCAAUUGGUUCCGGGACCGGAAUAUUACUUGCAGUAACAAUCAUCUAUCAGUACUUUGAGACAUUUGAGAAGGAAAGAGCCAGCGAGCUUGGUUUCUUUGGUUUCUAAGCUCUGCUCAGUCAUCACUGUUGGUGACGCAAUCGGGGGUUAUCCCGCACCCACAGUUUUGGGGUAUUGAGGAAUGGAAGUAGGUCCUUUAACACAGUAAGGAAGAACGUAGAUUAGCUUGUUAAUCACCUUUUUCUCAAGUGAGGAAGUACCAAAGUAGCAUAUCGUUGUAAACGUUUUUGCAUUUUCUUUGAAAAUAUUUGUGUUAAUUUGAUAUUUCAAAAUUAGACACCAUCGAGUAAAGCGUACUUUUAGAAGUCAAUUAAUUUUGAUAUUUAUAUUUACUUUUUGUGUUCCAUGUCAAUUGAAAAGGAGUGGGCUCGCAGAAUUCAGGGCAAAUGUUUCUUCAACAGAAAUCUUGGAUGACCUCCCCAAAGAAAAAGAAAGUCUUAAUGGAUGAGCCAUUUUUGCUUAUGCUUAUCUUGGACUGAGGAUAUUCUGACUUGUCUUUUCUUAUUGAACAUAUUAAAUGAAAUUCUAGCUUACCUUUAACGGACAUAUUCUCACACAUUAGCCUCUCGUUUUAGCUGUUCCUUUCUUGCAAUACUGCCUUUUAAAAUUUCAGGAACCAUAAUACAAUACAGACAUCAUAUGUCACGGUAGCAUUAUACAUCUUUUGUGAGCGACUACGUGUCUUGUUGAUAUCUAAUAAGAGCUCACAAGUAGUGUAUAUAUCCUCGGAGUUUAUUGUUGCAUCCUUUUCCAAAUUCUAUCUCUUAGGUAACCAAAAACAAUGGAGUGGGAAACAUCUCUCAAAAGCAGGUGAGAGGUUCUCAUCAAGGGCCAGUUUGGGUUAGUUUCUUUAUGAAAACACUGAAGAUACAAUUUUCGUUAAUGAGAUUUUAUAAAUUACUCCCUCCGUCCCAAAUGAUAUGGGAAAGAUAAAUGAAAAAAUUGAAAAAAGAAAGAGUAAUAAAUAGUUAAGGAUAUAAUAGGAAAAAUAACAUUAAUGUUUCAUUGGUAUUCUAAAGUGACAUACAAUUUAGGACAAAUAUUUUUUCUAAAGUGACAUACAAUUUGGGACGGAGGGAGUAAAAUAAAGACUAUUACUUUUCACACCCUGCUGCCUUCUCGCGCGCCCUGCAAAAUUUCCAAAAAUACCCCUGGUCUGGAUUACGUAAUCCGGACCAGAUUGUUAGUGAUUUCCGGAAAAUUAAAUCCGGACCAGAUGUUAUGGGUUUUUUUGUGUCUUUCUUUGAUGUCAAUGGUCUCUGUUGACUGUUAUAUGAACCCCACACAAGCUACAAUGCUAUUGCAGGGUUCAUAUGAACGGUCAACAAUGACCAUGACACCACCAACACUCCUAAAAGCUACCUAAAAAACUAAUUAUUUUUUUUUUUCCGUAGAAAAUGGAAGAAAAGAGGUGAAGUGAGAAAAAUGCUAGAUAUCAAGAAUGAUUUUAUAAGAAAGAUUCAAGAAUGACAUGGCACAAUAAUCACCCUUAGAUUUCAGUCUCAUUUAUUAACCUUUCAUAAAAAAAAAAUACAUAACACCCACCACCCCAUGAUUUCCGGCUAGGCUGAGAUUUUAUUGGCUAACAUUAAUUUCAGGACGAUUUCUUGAUAAAAUCUAAGGGUGAUUAUUCUGCCAUGUCAUUCUUGAAAUUUUCUUGAUAAAAUAUUUCUUGAUAUAUAGCAUUGCUCGUGAAGUGAAGAAUGAAGGUAUUUGUUGAAGAUGGAAGCCUAUAUAUAGCCUAAAACAAGUCCUAUGUCAUUACUACGGUCAAUGAAAACGUGUUAGUGGUUGUAACUGUCCAAACCGACAUUAAUGGCUCUCUUUCAAAAGAAUCAAAUGUUGAAGCUUUCCGGAUUUUACAUUCCAGAAUGUCCUUAGCCCUACAGGAAGUGCCAACUUUUCCCUCGUUUACCAUUAUCGCAUUAAUCCGGAAAAUAUAUUUCGGAAAACAGAUGUGCGUUUCGGAUUUUAUAUUCCGGAAUGCAUCAGUCAUGGCCGGUGGUCUGCACCCCACGUUUUUGUCGGUGGUCAAGUCAAAAAAACACAUUUUACCACGUUUUUUGACUGCAUUUAUGGCCUCCCAACCGUUUUUGACCAACCCCUCCCUAUAAAUAGCCUUCCAAACCCCACCAUUUCUCACACAAUCCUCUCCCACCCUCUCCUCUUCUUCCGUCUACAACCAUGGUUUUCCAUCGUUGGCCUUUCAUAGAUAAGGGCCUCGUUGAAAACUUUCAGGGUUUGUAUGAACGGUCAAUGAGGAUGGAACCGCGCUGCAACGAAGUGCGGUUCAUCUGAGGGUCAUGUGGGUAAGUGUGGUUCUUAGCUUGUCAUGUCCGGGCGUAAGUUUGAGCACCCCCCCGCCUCCCCCAGGGCAUUGUUUUCUUCUUCCUGCCCUCCUCUUCCCUCCUCCUCCGGUUUUCCUCCAAUAGGGAACCUACUGCUAUGUCCUAUCACAUAGCAGUGGUUAGGAUCUUAGGAGAUUAGAAUUAGGCUCUUAGUAGAUUAGAAAUAGAUUUAAGAUCUUAUGCAAUAAGCUUAAAAAGCUUGAAAAUUAUUGUAUUGUAUUGUUCAUAUAUUAAUAAAAUGAGUUGUUUUUAUAUUUGUGUCUUUUUAUUUCUGUAUUUUAUCUUAUUCGCAUUUUACUUUACGAAUUGUAUAGCUUAAAAUUGCAAAAGUUUUGAUAAAACAUUAUUCCGGAUUUUCAAAUCCAGAAACAUCUGCAAAAUUCUAACAAUGCAAUCCGGAAAACGAAAUCUGAACUAGGGGUAAAAUUGGGAAAAAAAAAUAGGGCGCGCGAGGAAAGACAUAGGGUGGAAAAAGUAAUAAUCUAAAAUAAAAGCUUAUUUAUUUACAUAGGUUAUUUUUCAUAAGCUCAAACCAAACGGGGCUCAAAUUCGUUACACAAUCAAUUCGAACUUAUUGUAUAUGACUUAUGAGUACUUUCUUGCUACCAACCACCCUUGGAGAGGAAAUUUAGCUGAUGAUCAAUUCUUUUUAAUGGGGAACAGAUUGAAGGAAAGGUUGAGGAAUCAAUUGGUUAAGUUGGGAUAAGCUUGUUAACAAUAUAGGGUUUAAUUAUAGAAUAAUAGAGAGACAAUUAAGGUUCCAAUAAUAAUAUGAUAAUAACUUAACAUUACAAGAGGUUACAAGAGAAUAUAUAAAACCUAAUAGACUGCUAAUUUAGUAAUAUAAAUAUCCAAUAACUUAUGCCUAAUACUUUAUUAUCGAACACUUAACCUCAAACUCAUGAAGCAUCAACAAAAACAUUGUAAAUUUGUCAAAUAAAAUACGAAAAAAUAUACUAAAUAAUAUAAAGUUCUAAAACUCUCAAGCUUACUAAGUUUUAAGCUUGUUUAAAAAAAACACAAAUUCUACCUCUGUACUAGAAAUAUCUUUUCUUGUGCCAAAAUGACUUACGACAUCACUUCAUGAAGAUGUUUGUUAUAUAAAACAACAACGAUCACCGCAUUAUACAACAAACAAGUGUUAUAAGUUUCCUACCUUGUGUGUUGUUGUCCACCAUGGCCAGCCAAGUUAUACCUGGAAAAGUUGAAGGAGACAAAUACAGAUCUUUCUUAGAUGAUGAGGCUCAUACCACACAGUGGAGACAUGGUGGACCACCCAUAUAUGAUGUUGUCAACAAGCUUUUUGAACAAGGACGAACCAAGGUGCAUGCACCAUUUAUAUAUCUCUAUAACCUAUAUUGUUUUUAUAUUGUAUGAUGAAUUAGUAUAUAUGUAUAAUCUUUAGGUGUGGCCAGAAGGAUCAUUGGAGGAAACAGUCCAAAACGCCAUAAAAUCAUGGGAGAUGGAGCUUUCACACAAAACCCGCGUGCAGGAUUUUAAGACUAUAAAUCCUGAAAAGUUUAAGCUCUUUGUUAAUGGUACAAUUCAAUCCUUCUUUAUUUCUUCUCUAUCUUAUUCCUAGUUAGAUUUUAAUUUGGUUGAAUAUGAUAAUGCUAUUUCAAAAAAUGGAAAAAAUUUAUUAAUCAAAGUGACAUUAAUGAUUAUUUUACGACCGUUCAUGAGGAUCAAAAUUUUGUAUCUUAAGAUUAUAAUAUCAAGUUCUUAUCAACUCAUAUCUCAAAUAUUAUGAGAUAUAAGAAGGAUGAAAUUACUUCUCUUAGAACUAUUGGAGGACUAAAGGAGACCAAGGAGGAAGGACACCCAACAGAAGACUCUAUGAACCUUCCAACACCAAUGGCAACCUCUUAGGAGAGAUGAACCAAACCUACUACCCCAAGAGUAGAGACAAAGGACCAGGACCGACCCCAAACCCCACUCAAAGUCACCUAAACCCCUCCCCACCAUAGCAAACUACUGAUCCCAAUAGAUAGUUGGUUCUACCACUCAUUAAGAAUGGGAACAUGGAUGACCAAAUUGUCUCUUGUAAAACCAGCACCAAGAGAUGAAUUGAAGGUAAGGAUUGUAAGGUAAGGAUUGUCCCCACAUAUAAACACAUUGUCAGGCCAUCUUCUAUUCGAUGUGGGACUCUUAACACGCCCCCUCACGACCAGCACUAUUGGGCUUGGUUCGUGGACAUAAAUGGUGGGUGGCCUGAUAGCGAAAACCUGAUAGGAGGUGGCCCAAUGGAUCUUGAAGAAACUCUGAUACCAACUUAUAAAUCGUGGUUGGGCCUAAACAACCCCACAAAACCGGCUUGUAAGGUGAGGAUUGCCCCCACAUAUAAACAUAUUGUAAGACCAUCUUUUAUCCGAUGAUGUGGGACUCUUAACAACCUAAAAAUCAUAUACCACACCCUCGAUGCUAUCCCACACGUCACAAAAAGGUUAUUUGCUGAUUUCGGCUUCUCACCGCAAAAGCCAGAGAGUAGUCGCCUGAUCUAUCAACACUUUACGUCUUAGUGACCAUUUUGAAAUUUUGUUUCUUUAUCAAAUGAUCUCACCUACAACUUCUUGACUUGAUGAUUUAAUGUUGAUAGUUUUCAAAUAUUAUGCUCCAUUCCCCCUAUGAUAUAAGUUACUUUAACAAAUUAUUCGUGAGUUAAGAAAUACAGUGUCAUGCAAUAACACUUCGUGGCAGCUACGUGAAAGGAUUAUGAAUUCGAAUUUGGGGUUUGUCACUUAUGUCAUUCAUUAUGUCCAACUCAUUUAUGCCUAUAUUAUAUGUUUAAGAAAUGAAAAAAUUAUAUUCGGACCAAAAACAAAACAAAUUUUUUUAUGAGUGUGAAAACAUAUUUUUAUUUUUAGAGACUAAAAAUUAAAUUACGCUAUAUAAUUAAAGAUGAAAAACUUAUCUCACCAAUUUACGACAUCAAAAAAUUUGAUAAUAUAGAACAGAUGAGUAUUUGUCUUGUUCCUAAACUGAGGUCCACAAAAGACAAGCUCCCCCAUUUUUUUAAUUUGUUUUAUUAAGGAGUUGAAAGAGGCAAAAUUUUGUUUUAUUUUUGAGGUGAAUUGGCUAACAUAAUGGCACCGAAUAUCUUGUUCCUUUCUAUAUGUAGUAUUGAAGGUGUAUUUUUUAUACUAUAUGGAUUAUAAAAAAGUAGGCUUAAUUGCACUUUUGGACCCCUAUCUUUCCAAAAGUUGCGGUUAUGGACCCCUAACUAAUUUAAAUACAAAACAGCCCCCUAUGUUUUGAUUCUUUGGCAGUUUUGGACCCCCAAGGCAAAAAAAUAAAAUAAAAAUUGACACGUGGCACCUCACUUAGGGUGCCACGUCAGCGUUGACCGAGUCAACAAUGGACUGGGGGUCCAAAACUGCCAAAGAAUCAAAACAUAGGGGGCUGUUUUGUAUUUAAAUUAGUUAGGGGCCCAUAACCGCAACUUUUGGAAAGAUAGGGGUCCAAAAGUGCAAUUAAGCC
rnacentral:lncRNA from 1 species